rnacentral:rRNA from 1 species
AUUGAACGCUGGCGGCAGGCCUAACACAUGCAAGUCGAACGAGUGGCGGACGGGUGAGUAGUGUCUGGGAAACUGCCUGAUGGGGGGGGAUAACUACUGGAAACGGUCGCUAAUACCGCAUACCCUCAGAUGUGCCCAGAUGGGAUUAGCUGGUGGGUGGGGUAACGGCACACCUCGGCGACGAUCCCUAGCUGGUCUGAGAGGAUGCCCAGCCACACUGGAACUGAGACACGGUCCAGACUCCUACGGGAGGCAGCAGUGGGGAAUAUUGCACAAUGGGCGCAAGCCUGAUGCAGCCAUGCCGCGUGUGUGAAGAAGGCCUUCGGGUUGUAAAGCACUUUCAGCGGGGAGGCGUUACCCGCAGAAGAAGCACCGGCUAACUCCGUGCCAGCAGCCGCGGUAAUUC